rnacentral:rRNA from 1 species
AGAGCGAACGCUGGCGGCAGGCUUAACACAUGCAAGUCGAGCGGGCGUAGUAAUACGUCAGCGGCAGACGGGUGAGUAACGCGUGGGAACGUACCUUUUGGUUCGGAACAACACAGGGAAACUUGUGCUAAUACCGGAUAAGCCCUUACGGGGAAAGAUUUAUCGCCGAAAGAUCGGCCCGCGUCUGAUUAGCUAGUUGGUGAGGUAACGGCUCACCAAGGCGACGAUCAGUAGCUGGUCUGAGAGGAUGAUCAGCCACAUUGGGACUGAGACACGGCCCAAACUCCUACGGGAGGCAGCAGUGGGGAAUAUUGGACAAUGGGCGCAAGCCUGAUCCAGCCAUGCCGCGUGAGUGAUGAAGGCCCUAGGGUUGUAAAGCUCUUUUGUGCGGGAAGAUAAUGACGGUACCGCAAGAAUAAGCCCCGGCUAACUUCGCGCCAGCAGCCGC